rnacentral:rRNA from 1 species
UACGUAGGGACCAAGCGUUGUUCGGAUUUACUGGGCGUAAAGGGCGCGUAGGCGGCAAUUCAAGUCAGCUGUGAAAUCUCCGGGCUUAACUCGGAACGGUCAGCUGAUACUGCUUUGCUAGAGUGCAGAAGGGGCAAUCGGAAUUCUUGGUGUAGCGGUGAAAUGCGUAGAUAUCAAGAGGAACACCUGAGGUGAAGACGGGUUGCUGGGCUGACACUGACGCUGGAGGCGCGAAAGCUAGGGUAGCAAACGGG